UCAGUAGGUGACCUGCGGAAGGAUCAUUA
rnacentral:rRNA from 21 species